rnacentral:misc_RNA from 1 species
GAUGAAGAACGCAGCGAAAUGCGAUAAGUAAUGUGAAUUGCAGAAUUCAGUGAAUCAUCGAAUCUUUGAACGCACCUUGCGCUCCUUGGUAUUCCGAGGAGCAUGCCUGUUUGAGUGUCAUUAAUAUAUCAACCUCUUCAGCUUAUGCUUGUUGAGUGUUGGAUGGUGGGGGUUUGCUGGUGUCUUAUGAAGUCAGAUCCUCUGAAAUGCAUUAGCGGAACAAUUUGUUGACCGUUCAUUGGUGUGAUAAAAAUAUCUACGCUAUUGACGUCAGUCAGUUCAGCUUCUAACAGUCCAUUGACUUGGACAAAUUUUUCAUUAAUGUGACCUCAAAUCAGGUAGGACUACCCGCUGAACUUAAGCAUAUCAAUAAGCGGAGGA